rnacentral:rRNA from 1 species
CAAUAGCGUAUAUUAAAGUUGUUGCGGUUAAAAAGCUCGUAGUUGGAGUUCUGCCAGGUGCCGCCUGUCCGCCCCAGUGGUGAGUACGUGGCGCGCAUUUGGCCCUUUCAAGGGGAGCGUAUCUGCACUUAACUGUGUGGUGCGGGAUCCUUGACUUUUACUUUGAGGAAAUAAGAGUGUUCCAAGCAGGCUCUCGUCGUGCAUAGCUCAGCAUGGAAUAAUAGCAUUGGACCUCGAUUCUAAGCUGUUGGUUGCCAGAAACGAGGUAAUGAUGAAGAGGGAUAGUUGGGGGCAUUCGUAUUUAACUGUCAGAGGUGAAAUUCUUGGAUUUGUUAAAGACGAACUACUGCGAAAGCAUUCUCGACGAUGGUUAUGUUUUUACUAUUAGAACGUAACUAAAGGGGAAACGUAAACGGUUAAGGGGAAUUCGAAAAGUACUAGGAAUUACCCAAGUACUUACCGGUACGUACGUAGGACCCUAAGGGCCCAAACGGACCAACGGGGAACUAAGGGGGGG